rnacentral:rRNA from 1 species
UACGUAGGGGGCAAGCGUUGUCCGGAUUUAUUGGGCGUAAAGAGCGUGUAGGCGGCCCGGUAAGUCCGCUGUAAAAGUCAAAGGCUCAACCUUUGAAUGUCAGUGGAUACUGUCGGGCUAGAGUCCGGAAGAGGCGAGUGGAACUCCUGGUGUAGCGGUGGAAUGCGCAGAUAUCAGGAAGAACACCAACGGCGAAGGCAGCUCGCUAGGACGGUACUGACGCUGAGACGCGAAAGCGUGGGGAGCGAACAGG